UUUCCAGGAAUUGGGCCACCGCCCACUUUUUUGGUCUCUGAUAGUUGGCCUCAGAACUGUCAUGGCGCUGGAGGGUGUGUCACUUACCUUAUGCUAAUGUAUUACAAUGAGCAUAUGAUGAGGCUCAAGGUCCACUGGAAGUCGAAUAUUCUGCCAUCUUGGACCUAGUUGGUUCUAACCAGUUUUCGUCAUAUCCUAUGGCUAUGUCAUGCUUUUAAACGCCGUGCCCUGUCCCCUUCCCUCCUGUUUCAUAACCACUGGACUGCCAGGGAAUUCCCUGCCCUGCUGCUCUCAAGAGAAGAGCGUGCUGGUAGGACACUGCUGGUCCCAGGAAAGGAAAGAUGAGAGACACAUGGAGCAGAGCCCCUCUAACUGAGCCGAGCCUAGAUCAGCUGACCUGCUGACAUCUGAGAGACAAGAAAAGAUGAUUGUUUUAAGUCAUCACGUUUGGGGGUGUUUUGUUAUGCAUCAGCAGUUAUCCAACCAGGUCACCUAAGCCAGGAACCUGAGCAUUACCUUUGCUGCUCCCUUUCGCAAUCCACGAUGUUCCCAGAGCUUCCUAAGUAUCUCUGGAAUCCAUCUAGUCUCCAUCCUCAGCACCUCUUGAGGUGUUAGCCCUAGCUCAGGCCUCCUGCAGCUACAUUCUAACUCAUUUUUCCUUCCUCCCCUUUGCCCCCAUUCUCCACACACAGCAUCUUGAGUGACCUUCCUUAUACCCAAUCUGAUCACGUGACUCCUGUGGGUUUGCCUCGCCCUCAGGCUGUGGUGUCCUUAGGGCCUGAUAUGGGAAGGAACCUUGCUAGGCACUGUGGACAACCUGGUCAUGGUGAAGAGACACCUCCAGGGCAGUUUCUGCUUUGUUCCUAAAUCCCUGGUGCAGGGAGCCAGGUUCAAGGUUGGAGCUGAUAAGCAAAAGGCCAGCCUCAGGCCACGGCAGCAUUUCCCAAGGGUUCCCUGAAACCCCUCUACUACUGGCUGGGCCUUUUCAGGGCGUCAACAGGGAAGACAGUAUGAGACGCGUUGAUAACUUGGAAUUAAGAUUUCCAUCCUUAUUCCUUGCUAAAGGAUCAGAUCGUGGGUGUACAGUCUCCUUAAACAGGCAAAUGGGCUCUCAGACCUCUAGUCUUCUUUGUGGCCACAGUGAAAGUGCUAUUACAUCAAGAGAAAGGAUGAGUCACCAGUCACCAGCAUGGGGUAGAGAUGCCACAACCCAUAGAGAACGGCACCCCUGACCAAGAGUAGGUCUUCCUGUGAGGCAGCUUGAGAAACAGCCAGCUGCCUCAGCCUUCAAGAGACUUUUAUAUUUUGCCAUGGGCCUUCUCGCAAGGCUGCCCAGCAGAUUGUCUUGUGUAGUGGUUAAACAUGUAAAUUCUGCACCCAAACUCACUAGCUUUGGGUCCAGCCCUGCCACUGACCUUGGGACCUUGGGCUAAGAAGAGGAUCUGGGUUCCAAGAAGCUCAAGUUCAGCAAGAGAGAUAUGGGUAAUAAGACCAUUGCAUCAGGGGCUCUGCUGCGCUGGGGGCUCCUGGGCGGAGCACCUGGGUGGGUGUUGGGAAGGCUUCUGCGGGACACACUAGGUGGAAUGAGGGGGAGAGAAGGGGUCCUCAGCUCCAGGAAGAGAAGGAGUGAGUCUGCUUUUGGUUCUCAUCCCCCUUCACCGUGCCUGGAAUACCAGCUGACCGCAGGAGUGACGAAGGAGUCCCCUCCGGGGGAAGUGGGGGCGAGGUGGCUCAGGAGCUCUGACUUUAAAUGCAGAGGUGGGAUGCGGCACACGUCAGACUGGGGAUAAAUGCAGAGGUGGGAUGCGGCACACGUCAGAGCUGGGGAACUACUCAGAUCUACUGGGUCAGGACAGGGCCUGCUGGAGCCCCAUGCCUCCAAACCCAGGGCACAUUUCCCUGUGCCCCCUAACUCACCACUAUGAGUGGACAGCUACUGCAGUACCCGAGAGGGACGGCCAUGUAAGUCCCCAGGCUCAGGGCCCCCAGAGAGACAGGGACAAGCCGGCUUAAGGUUGAAUCCUCUGGCCCAGGCGUCCUCCGAGAGAAGGCAGGCAGCGUUAGGGCCAGGCCUGUGCAGGGAGCACAUUUGGAUGGGAAGCGGGGCGGGGCGGGAUUGGAGGGAGCGGGCUGCGCAGGGGAAACCCGUCGGUCGCCCAGGUGCGAAGCUCAGGCGGAGGCCGAGCCGCGAUGUGUCCUCGCCCUGUUCACCAGCAGGCGGCGCCAGAGCUUAAGGCCGCGGGGGCCUCGGGUCCCGGAGUCCGGCCGGGCGGGGCGAGGGGCGGACCCCGGCGCAUCGGAGCGUUGGGGCGCGGGGGCAGUCCGGCGGCGGGAAGGACCGGCAGAGCGACACGCUUCCUGGAACCUCCGUGGCCAUGGCUGAGCACACCGGUCGCCGCUGCUGCCUGGGCUGGGACUUCAGCACGCAGCAGGUAAAAGUUGUUGCAGUUGAUGCAGAGCUGAAUGUCUUCUAUGAGGACAGUGUGCAUUUUGACAGAGACCUUCUAGAAUUUGGGACUCAGGGUGGAGUUCAUGUUCACGAGGAUGGGCUGACAGUGACUUCUCCAGUCCUGAUGUGGGUCCAGGCUUUGGAUAUCAUCUUGGAGAAGAUGAAGGCUUCAGGCUUUGACUUCUCUCAAGUCCUCGCCUUGUCUGGGGCGGGCCAGCAACAUGGAAGCGUGUACUGGAAGGCUGGGGCCAGCCAGGUUCUGGCAAGCUUGUCACCGGACCUCCUGUUGCACGAGCAGCUGCAGGCCUGUUUCUCCAUCAGUGACUGCCCGGUGUGGAUGGACUCCAGCACCACAGCCCAGUGCCGCCAGCUGGAGGCCACCGUGGGUGGGGCCCAGGCUCUCAGCUGCCUCACCGGGUCCCGCGCCUAUGAGCGAUUUACAGGAAACCAAAUUGCAAAGCUUUACCAGCAGAACCCCGAGGCUUACUCACACACAGAGAGAAUUUCCUUGGUCAGUAGUUUUGCUGCUUCUCUGUUCCUUGGGUCUCACUCUCCUAUUGACUACAGUGACGGUUCUGGAAUGAACUUGCUGCGGAUCCAGGACAAAGUCUGGUCGCAGGCUUGCCUUGGUGCCUGUGCACCUCAUCUAGAAGAGAAGCUCGGCCUGCCGGUGCCGUCAUGCUCGGUUGUGGGGGCCAUUUCUUCCUACUUCGUCCAGCGCUAUGGGUUUCCUCCAGGAUGCAAAGUGGUGGCCUUCACUGGGGACAACCCAGCGUCGCUGGCAGGCAUGAGGCUGGAGGAAGGUGACAUUGCGGUCAGCCUGGGCACCAGCGACACCCUGUUUCUCUGGCUCCAGGAGCCCACGCCCACCCUGGAAGGCCACAUCUUCUGCAACCCGGUUGACCCCCAGCACUACAUGGCGCUCCUGUGCUUUAAAAACGGCUCCCUCAUGAGAGAGAAGAUCCGCGAUGAGUUGGCUUCCAGUUCCUGGAGCGAGUUCUCUAAGGCGCUGCAGUCCACAGAGAUGGGGAACAGCGGAAACCUGGGUUUUUAUUUUGAUGUAAUGGAGAUCACCCCUGAAAUUAUUGGGCGUCAUAGGUUUAGUGCAGAAAACCAUGAGGUCUCAGCAUUCCCCUGGGACGUGGAGAUUCGAGCACUGAUCGAAGGACAGUUCAUGGCCAAGAAGAUCCAUGCCGAGGGCCUGGGCUAUCGAGUCAUGCCUAAGACAAAGAUUUUGGCCACCGGAGGAGCAUCUCACAACAGAGACAUCUUGCAGGCCUUGCAGCUGGAACAGAUGUGCCCUUUUCAGAGGUUGUGAAGUUAGCCCCAAAUCCCAGAUUAGCUGCUGCCCCAACCCCAGGAGCGUCUCAGGUCUACGAGGCCCUCCUCCAGCGGUAUGCCAUGCUUGAGCAGAGAAUCCUGACCCAGACCCGGGGGCCUCCGGAGUGAAUUCCACAGGCCCAGUCUCACUGAUUCCACUUGGAGACGUGGCCUUGGACAGCAGGGAACCUCUUCCCUGUUGCAAGCAGCUCUGCCUGCCCACCUGACGCCUUACGGUGCUCCAACCUGCCCAGGACCACCUUAAAGCCCACCUUAGCACAUCCUCCUGAACACAGCUUGUGUCCCUGUGCCCUUGUGCCCAGGGCAGGAAAGCAUCUCUCUUCCUGUCUUUUAUCCCAGGAGGCAAGAUAACACUGAGCCUGGGAUAUGUCCAAUAAAAAUUGUGACUUUUCCCCUUUUGGGACCUAAAUCAGCAGAAUGGGAGAGACAAAGCGAAAUAAAUAGAUUCUUUCCUCUUUA